CCUGCCCCUGGAGGCCUUACAGAUGUGACUGCUGUCACGUGUGUGUCAGUAGCUGGCAGAGAGGAGAGAUACUACAUCAAUGUUCUGACCUAUGGACAUCUGAAUGGUUAGCAGCCUAAUAUU
ensembl:snoRNA Gm23708 predicted gene, 23708